rnacentral:tRNA from 1 species
GAAGGCUUGANNAGUUGGUAGAGCGCCGGACUGUUAAUCCGUAGGUCCCUGGUUCGAGCCCAGGUC